GAUGAACGCUAGCGGCAGGCCUAACACAUGCAAGUCGAGGGGUAGAAGGAGCUUGCUCCUUUGAGACCGGCGCACGGGUGCGUAACGCGUAUGCAAUCUACCUUGUACAGGGGAAUAGCCCAGAGAAAUUUGGAUUAAUGCCCCAUAGUAUAUAACCUUCGCAUGUUGGUUAUAUUAAAGUUCCAACGGUACAAGAUGAGCAUGCGUCCCAUUAGUUAGUUGGUAAGGUAACGGCUUACCAAGACGAUGAUGGGUAGGGGUCCUGAGAGGGAGAUCCCCCACACUGGUACUGAGACACGGACCAGACUCCUACGGGAGGCAGCAGUGAGGAAUAUUGGUCAAUGGUCGCAAGACUGAAACAGCCAUGCCGCGUGCAGGAAGACGGUCCUAUGGAUUGUAAACUGCUUUUAUACAGGAAGAAACCCUCCCACGUGUGGGAGCUUGACGGUACUGUAGGAAUAAGGAUCGGCUAACUCCGUG
rnacentral:rRNA from 1 species